GAUGAAGAACGUAGCGAAAUGCGAUAAGUAAUGCGAAUUGCAGAAUUUCCGUGAGUCAUCGAAUCUUUGAACGCACAUUGCGCCCGCCAGUAUUCUGGCGGGCAUGCCUGUUCGAGCGUCAUUACAACCCUCAGGCCCCCGGGCCUGGCGUUGGGGAUCGGCGGAGCCCCCCGUGGGCACACGCCGUCCCCCAAAUACAGUGGCGGUCCCGCCGCAGCUUCCAUCGCGUAGUAGCUAACACCUCGCGACUGGAGAGCGGCGCGGCCACGCCGUAAAACACCCAACUCUUCUGAAGUUGAACUCGAAUCAGGUAGGAAUACCCGCUGAACUUAAGCAUAUCAAUAAGCGGAGGA
rnacentral:misc_RNA from 1 species